AAUAGAUACCCUGGUAGUCCACGCCGUAAACGAUGAGUGCUAAGUGUUAGGGGGUUUCCGCCCCUUAGUGCUGCAGCUAACGCAUUAAGCACUCCGCCUGGGGAGUACGGUCGCAAGACUGAAACUCAAAGGAAUUGACGGGGGCCCGCACAAGCGGUGGAGCAUGUGGUUUAAUUCGAAGCAACGCGAAGAACCUUACCAGGUCUUGACAUCCCGUUGACCACUGUAGAGAUAUAGUUUCCCCUUCGGGGGCAACGGUGACAGGUGGUGCAUGGUUGUCGUCAGCUCGUGUCGUGAGAUGUUGGGUUAAGUCCCGCAACGAGCGCAACCCUUGAUCUUAGUUGCCAUCAUUUAGUUGGGCACUCUAAGGUGACUGCCGGUGACAAACCGGAGGAAGUGGGGAUGACGUCAAAUCAUCAUGCCCCUUAUGACCUGGGCUACACACGUGCUACAAUGGACGAUACAAACGGUUGCCAACUCGCGAGAGGGAGCUAAUCCGAUAAAGUCGUUCUCAGUUCGGA
rnacentral:rRNA from 1 species